GAGUCGAGGCGCUUGGCGGAGAAGAGCUCCGUGAGGCAUAUCUUCCUCGCCUGCCGCCAGUACGGACCGUACGGGGACCAAGUGAUGUCGGAGUAGUUGUAGGUCGUGUACUUGCCCGCCGCCGUCCGCGGCCGCGAGGCGAAGACGAGGUCCUGCGUCUUCAAGAACUCCCUCGCCAUCUCCACCGACGAACCCACCACCACCCGCUGCGAUCCCAGGUAGAGCUGCAUGAUGGGGCCGUACUUCCGGAAGAGCUCGUGGAUUGACCUGUGCGGCAGCUCCCCGAUCAGGUGCAGGCUGCCGACGAUGGGCCACGGGCGGGGGCCCGGCGGCGGAGGAGGCCGCCUCCGCCGGUGGGGAGCCAAGAGGGCUCUCAAGAUGGCGGCGGAGGCCAGCAGCGCCGCCGCGUAGAAGGCCCAGGUUGGGAGAGCGCCGCCGUCCAUGGCCACCGUGGAAGUCUCAGUUGUGGGGGGGGGGGGGAGGGGAUGCAGCGGCGGUGGUAGCGGUGGAUCAGUGUGUGGAUAAGGGGGAACGAUAGCAACGGUCACAAUUCAGAGAGAGAGAGAGAGAAGAGAGGUUGGGAAUAUAUAAAAAGAAGAAAUCACGAUGGAGACUCCAGACUGCGGGAAGCCAAUAGAAAAUCGUUGACUUCGACAAAUCCCUAUACAUACCAACAUCGCAGAGGACACCACCUUCACUGAGCUUUUCCCACCUAAUUUAUUUUGAAAACGUCUGGCUAUUACUAUUCUUUAACUUUGACAGGAACUUGAAAGAAAGCAACCGUCAUAAUCGACCAUUUAUAAAAAACAGAUGGCAAACAUAUUAUAUGUUAUGGAAUACCUAAUCUGUAUUACAUGAUCUGAGUUCGUCGACCAUCGUCACUCCGGGUAUUGCGAGAGAGACGCCAGUUCACGCUACCAUAAGAAUCUAUUGAGUUUUGUUAUCUGGGAUCCCGUAGGUUGCUCGGGCGCAGCAAGUCCAUGGUCUACGUCGGCUCAUUUGUGCACCUCCCGGAUAGAGAAGGAUUGGAGGUGGAUAGCUUGGGCUGUUUUUCAGAAAAAGUCUAGAAAGAGGACUAUUAUACAUCUCUCUCUCUCUCUNNNNNNNNNNNNNNNNNNNNNNNNNNNNNNNNNNNNNNNNNNNNNNNNNNNNNNNNNNNNNNNNNNNNNNNNNNNNNNNNNNNNNNNNNNNNNNNNNNNNNNNNNNNNNNNNNNNNNNNNNNNNNNNNNNNNNNNNNNNNNNNNNNNNNNNNNNNNNNNNNNNNNNNNNNNNNNNNNNNNNNNNNNNNNNNNNNNNNNNNNNNNNNNNNNNNNNNNNNNNNNNNNNNNNNNNNNNNNNNNNNNNNNNNNNNNNNNNNNNNNNNNNNNNNNNNNNNNNNNNNNNNNNNNNNNNNNNNUAUUAUACUAUCUCUCUCUCUCUCUCUCUCUCUCUCUCUCUCUCAAUAUAUAUACAUAUAGACAUAUAUAUAUAUAUAUAUAUAUCUUUACUAGAGGAAAAAAGGAAGGAGAUGGACAGAGGGAGUUUCCUGUACCUCGAUGGAGAGAGGGGAAGAGGAGCGGAUCAGACUUCCUCAUUUCUCAUGGAUAUUUUCUUCCCAUUAUAUAGGGACAGGUCCUUACAUCAUAACCCUUAAUAUGCCUCAAGAUGGCUUUAGAACAGGUCAGCUCAUGUAGUAGAAUAAAUAGGUUAUUGAUUAAUAUAUUGGUGGUGAACAUGAUGUCACUUAAUAUGCCAUCUUGAUCGCACUGUUAAUGAACACAUCUUCAUGAAUGCUGACAAAAUGCUGUCAAUCAACCUCAUCUUGAAGAUAAAUAUGCCAUCACACAAAUUAGACAGUUUGACAAAGAUGAAUUUACCAUAUAAAUUCAUAUACAUUCGCCGCACUCAAGACCAAAGGGCUGUAAUGCUGUUGAUGAACACUCUACCCCUUGGGAGUAGAGGGGAGAUUGGUGGAGCCAGUGACUAAGCUCCACCAGUGAUAGAUGUGGCAACUGGUGGAGCUAGUGACCAGGCUCCACCAGCGAUGGACGUGACAACCACUGCUGAAGGACCAGACAAAGCCCGUCAACACAGCUGGGAUGGAGGAUUCGUUCAAUCCGUCACAUCAUCAAUGGUUUUAUAAAAAGAGGGAUCCGAAUUUCUAUUUUUAGGCAAUUAGUUUCCUGAUUUAUAGCAGUUUCUCGUUGAAGCUCAUCUUCCUCCAAGACCUAUAAAAAGGGCCAUUGUUGUAAGCAUUGGACAAUGAAGUAUUUUGGGAGUUUAUGCUUCUUGAUAUUCACUCCCAGCGCCAACUGUCACUGCCACCACUACCACCGCCUUCGUUGUCAUUGGGCUUUGUAUCUCUUGCUAUCUUUGGGUUUGUGUCACCCCCACCACCAUCUCUAUCGCCAUUCCUUUGUGCGUUCACCUCCUGCACUAUUUUCGUCAUCCCCGUGCACUACUACCUCCUAUGCCGCCCCCACAUCCUUUUGUGUGGGAUCCACCACCCUCACAUACUGUUGUGUCCCCAUGCACCACCACACCCAUAUGCUUGUUGAGCCACACUUGCCACACCCACACACUCCACCAUGUCCGUGCAACCGAGAGCAUGCAUUGGUUUCGCUUUUGUUCUCAGUGGCUCAACCUUAAUUGCUCUAUGUCACCCGCCAUCUUAUUAUCUCUUCAACACCCAUCGCACCUCCUCUGUGCUGAAGGUACACUCUCCCCUCACUCCUGAUAUUAUAUUAUCUCUUCCAAUAUUUUUCAUUAGUGUUGUUACUAUCGUCAAAAUAAUUGCAUAGGCUAAUAUUAUAGGAUUGUGAUUUCUUUAUGUAAUUUUAGAGUCAGCAUCUUGAACGUAAAACUUUGUGUUGUCUUGUGGUUCUCUAGGCAAUUCUCUGACCCUCAAGUGAGGAUGGGGCUCCCACCCUCAUUACUCUCUCCGGACUUUAUAUAUUCUAAUCGAUCUACUUGUCCAUGGCUUGAUAUUUAUUUCUCUUAAGUCAUAUUAAGAUUCACACCUAUUACUUUAUAGUCAUCCUACAUCAGAGAUGUUGAACUAUCCCUCCUUGUCUUCUUCUAAUACCCCAUGUUAUGGUGGUAGAAUGGAUGAGAUGAGGCUUUGUGACAAAGAUAAAUUAUCCUUUGGAGUGGAAUCUUAUGUUGGAGUAGAUGUGGAGAUGCCAAGAGAAGCUCUAGGGCAGCAGAAACCCUUGACAUACUCUCAAAUUUUUCAUCGAGGAAGACAUUGAUGACGAACAUGUUGCUGGUUAAUAUGAUAAUUUCGAAAUUAGAAAACGAGAUGAUGACAAUGGAUAUUAUAGGGGAGACAACGAAGGUUUUCUCAUCAUCCUCCUCUAAUAUGCCAGCGUCCUUGUGACCACAAGACUAGUGAGCUUGAGAUGAAGCCAAAGGAGAUGAAAAUAAGAGAAGGUGGAGAUGGCGAAGGAAGCUCUAAUGCCCUAGUACCUUGUUACAACUAGAAAAAAGGAGAUGGAAGGGUGGUAGGAGCAAUAGAUGAAACUUUCUUUUUUUUAUUUAAUUUUUAUCUUCUAUUAUCCUACACCAUAAUUCCUAAUAUGCCCUUAGGCUACAUCAUAAUACUAUGUGUGUGUGUCUCUCUCUCUCUCACUCUCUCAAUUCGAGCACCUAUUAAUUGGAGUGGAUAUCUUUUAAGAUGAUUCUAAGCUCAAGGCUAGCCCAAGACACCUGAUGAGAUAGAUGAACAUACUGAUUUUUGUAAAAUGACACUUUCUAAUUGGAUAGGCCUCAAGAAUAUACAUUUGUUAGAAUGACAUGUAUAUAAUUGGUAUCUUUCAAUAUUUUUCCUAUAAAUAUGAGUAUGUGAACAUAAAAGCCUACAAGUGGGUUCUCAAAAAUAGCUAUUAUACAUUCCUUUUCCUCUCUUACAACAUGUCACCUCUAUUUAGUGGCUUACCUCAAUUCACUGCCACUUCAUCUUGACAUCAUCUUAACUUGUCAUGGCCUCAUCUUGCACUAAUCUAAUAAGUCUCUAGCUCAUGCUACUACCUUGCUUGGUAGCUUCACAUUAUUGUUUUCAAUCUACCAAGGUUCAUGUUCCUCCCUUGAUUUCCUUCUUUUCUUCAUCUUGAUUCAUCCUCACCUAGUCCUUCUUCAAUGUAUUUAAGUAUGAUUCAAUAUUGAACAUAUUUAUCCAAUGAGGUUCUCCCAAUUCAUUAUCUUUUGUAUAUGUUACAAUUUUUCAAUUAAACUAUAACCUAUAUUAUAUGAGUCAUAUUUUACAAGUAAAUAGUAUAGUUAAAGCAUUCUUAAUAUCAACAAUUUUAUAACUAUUGGCUGGUUAUUUGUAUGAGAAUAGGAAAAGAGAGCAUAAACAUGUCCUUAAUAGACUCCACUACUCCUAUCUCACAAUUACUGAUGAGGGCUAGAGAAUCUAUAAUGUUUCAAACACAUUUUCAAAUUACUCUUUAGAAGUUGAUUGAACAUAAUUUUCCCAUAUGCGCUACCACAAUACAAUUAUAUAUUGGACCUCAAGAUAAUAUUAAAUAUAUUUGUGAUAUUAUCAUUAAAGUUCCUUCCAUGAACUCAAGCUAUAAAAUAUAGUUAUGUGAAAGUAGUUUGGCCAUAUAAUAAUUCUUGAGCUCAAUCAAUAUAAAUAUACAACAAAUGAUCAUACAUAAAAUAAUUAUUGAUAGUGUUUGGAAGAUAUUAGAACCAACAUAUUAUCAUAUACAAAACAUGAAUCAUAGUUAUCAAUUCAGUAACAUCAUUUAUAAAAUCAAAUAAAGAAUGGUGGAAGUUACCCAAUAUUUUAGUUCCUUGAAUAUUAUGUGAAAUGAAUUAAACUCAUAUGAUUAAAACCAAUUCCCAACUAUAGAAGAUCAAAAGCAAUACAUGAAAACAAUUAAUCUAAAUAGAAUAUUUAGAUUUUUAACUAUCUUGAACCAUGAGUAUGAAGUGUUAAUGGGUUAAAUUUUAAAUAUAAAGCAUAUUCCAUCUCUUUAAUAAAUUUUCUAUGAAGUGUUGUGUUAGUAGAUAAGUAAGUUAGUUAUGACCAAUUUUUAUCAAACAAUAUAAAUUAUAUUGAAGGAACACUUAGUUUUGAUUAGCAUUGUUGAAAAAAAAGAUUGUCAAAGGUCAACAAGAAAGUAAUUCAAGAAAAGAGUAUAGGCAUUGUUUUUGUACAAAAUCAUUGCAUAGAUUAUUAUUGAGAACCACAUCCACAUAAAAGUUUCAUAUGUUAUCUUAAGCCAAGUCAACAACUAAGACAACCUCAAAUAAUAUACCUCAUUUAGGUGGCUCUAUAUCCCAAUAUCAAGAGAUAUCACAAAAUAACAUAAGACCUGAAGGACUGUUAAAAGAGAGGCAAAUAAAAAAGUAAUCAAGUGCAACAUAAGUGUCACCUUAUAGUCAAUGUACAAUGCCUCAAUUAUUGACUCUAGGACGUCCAAACAUUUGAUUGAUACUUCACCCUUCACAUAGUAUUACCUUCGAUCAAGUAGAAAUAAAGUGACUAUAAUUGAUGGGCAUUAAGUAAUAUUGUUAACAAAGGUUUUAUCAAAUCAAAUAAUGACAUAUCCCUACCUUUGGCCCUUCAUGUUCCUUCUCUUUACAACAACUUUCUUUUGUAACUUUAAUUAUAAAACAAAAAAAAUCAUUAACUUUCCAUCCUUAAUAUUAUGUACUUCAUAAUUUGAAGAAAAAUAAUAAUUGAGAAUAAAUGUGAGACUAAUGAAGUUUAUCUUCUUCAGCCUCAAAUAGGAAAACAUUAUAAUCACAAUUUAUUUAAAUAAUAGACCAGAAACUACAAGAUAUCUACUUGUGGUACUUUCGCUUAGGCCAUCUAUCUUUUAAAACUAUGAACACAAUUUUACUUAUAAUUUCUAUGUCAAUUGAAAUUAGUUUUCUACAUUGUCAAAUUUUUCCACUUAUAAAAUAAUGUAAUGUUCCAUUUUCUUCUUUAAAGAUUAAAAUCAUGUCUUCUUUUGAUACGGUGUAUUAUGGUGUUUCGGGUACACCCCUUAUCACCUCUAUGGAUAAAUACUACUAUUUUUUUUUACUUUAUUGAUGAUUUUACCCACUCAAUAUAGCAAAUGCCAUGGAAGGAAGAAGUAUUUAUGGUAGCCCAAAUCUUCUUAUCAUGAUUAGCACUUAGUUUAGCAAAAUAUGUGAAAACAUCCCAUUUAGACAAUGGUAGAAAAUGUUUCAAGCAAAACAUCAACAUUUUAUGAAAAAUAAGGAAACAUUCAUAAAUCCCAAUGUUUUUAUACACCCCAAUAAAAUAAUGUGACUGAAAAGAAGAAUUGACUUCUUUCACAAAUCACACAAGUCCUACUAUUUUGAAGUAACAUGGUUGAAAGUUUUUAGGUUGAAGUUUUACUAACUAUAGUUUAUUUGAUCAAUAAGAUGUUGUCUACCACACUUAAUGGCUAGGCCCCAUAUCAACUCUUAUUUCUUAUAUAACUACUAUUUUCUCUCUGGCCUAAAGACAUUCAAGUGCAAUGUUAUAUUUAUCUCUUUGACACAAACAUUAACAAACUAGACUCUAGAUACUCAAAGGUGUUGUCCUUGACCAUUCACCUACACAAAAAAAUUAUAAAUGUCUUGUGUAUAGCAAAAGUAUCAAUUGCAUAUUAUGUUUCUUCUCCUUUGACCUGCCACCUCUCCUUAGAGUUGAACUUUGACUUUUUAUUCUCACCUUCUUGCUAACUUGCAUUAUCAUUGUCUUAACUCCUUGAUGUCUCUCUCACCUCAUUGUGAUCUCAACUCACUUCAUCAUUGUCCCACAAAAGUUUCAACUUUUAGCCACUUUGACUAAUCACUACCUUUUCUUAGAGCUUUGCAUUCACACUUUUAAUCUCUCAAGGGUUCACAUUCCUCUCUUGCAUUUCUCUUUUCUUCAUCUCAAUUCACUCUUUACUCACCACUCUUCAAUAUUGGAAUAUUAGAGCUAUAAUAUAUAAAAGUACAAUCCUUGUCUCAUUGUUGACUUUUCUUGUCAUGGCCUCAUCUUGCUUCAGCCUUGACUCACAGCCACUGCAACUUACUGCCACAUUUUCUCAGAGCUUUGCAUUCUUGUUUUCAAACUCCUAGGGGUUCACAUUCCUCUCUCUCCUUCCUCCUUUCUUUGUCGUGAUUCAUUCUCAGUUAACUCCUCACUAAUAUUGGAAGACUAUAACUAUAAAAAUAUAAAAAUACGACAUACAUUCUUUGCACUUGUAGAGUUGUGAUUGGGGUGCUUAUAGACUAUGAGAGAGAGUUUCAAAUUUUUUGGGGGCAGAGAAAGAAAGAGAUAGAGAGAUAGAUAGAUAGANNNNNNNNNNNNNNNNNNNNNNNNNNNNNNNNNNNNNNNNNNNNNNNNNNNNNNNNNNNNNNNNNNNNNNNNNNNNNNNNNNNNNNNNNNNNNNNNNNNNNNNNNNNNNNNNNNNNNNNNNNNNNAGAGAGAGAGAGAGAAGUGGCAUCAAAAGAGUUUCAAUUCAUAUAACAAAUCAAUGGCCAAUAUAAAUUUAAAAUGUUUAUUUAAAUUAAUUUUAUUGUACCUAUGAAGAUUCUAAUCAUAGAAUUUUGAUGUGUUAAUCAUGAGAUCAAUGGACUACUAUUAGCCUUAAAUGAAUGGAACAAUCACACCUAGUUGAGACAAUUUUGGUAUAUAUAGUAGAGAAGGUGUUGGCUUCUAGGAGCCUUAUAGUAAUGAUAAUAAAAAAAAUAGAUAUUUGAAAAAAUAAUAAUUUUACUUUGAGAAAAUUAUAUUCACAUAUUAAAAUAAUAUUGAUAAAAGAUUUUAUUAACCAUUAAAAAAAUUGGUGACAAGAUGAUGUUGUUGGUUUUUUAGCUACACUUACAUAAAGAAAGGAGGGUUGAAUUGAUCAAAUCUUAUUUUUGACUUUUAGUUUAGUCUUCUAAUUUCUUCAUUCUCCUUCUUCCAAUCUUAAAUCCUAUAAUCUUCCUAUAACAAAAAUUCUGAAGCACUCAAAGAUUUUUAUUGUGGUUCGACAUCCUACCUACAUCCACUUAUUGAAAACACUACAUCCAUGAUUUUCACCAAAACAACCUAUUUAGGAAAGCACCAUUUGAUUAAUGGAUUAACUUCCCACAAAAUUGUACCUCAAUCUUUUUCUCUAGAUUUACUAUUAUAUGAGGCUUACUACUAAUUAUAGUGAACAACACUCUUGAGUGAUUACAUAAAUAUUAAUCACCAGUUUCUCCCACCAAAAUAAGAAAGAGUUUCACUUUCAAUAUUUUCUAAGUGAUAGCAUUGACACAAAGUGUUUAUAGAAAUUUGAUCAAGAGGAUGAUGAUCUAGAAAUUCUUUUUGGGUGAUUGUUGAAGGUUUUUUCAUUUAAAUCUGGUAAAUCACAUAUGACUUGAUUUUGAUUUCUUUACCCAUUCUCUUCUUGUCAUUUGACCCAACAAGAUAGGCCACUCAAAUUCACAAUUAAACAUUUGUAUAAAAUGUCAAGAAAGAAAUAAAUUCAAGAUUCUAGAGAAGUGAGAGAUAAUCAUUAGUCACACAUUAGGCAAUUUAGAGGUAUUGGAAUUAUAAAGAAAUAACAUUCGAAAACCUCCCUUAUUUUUCACCAUCUCUCAAGUCAAUACACAACCAUUAAGUGGCAAUACAUAUAUCCAGAGAUUAUUAGUUCAAACAAGUUUCAUACAGAUCUAGUAUCAUUGAAAUAUAAUCAAUAUUAAAUAUUAAAAAAAUAAAAAGUUCACAAUAAAAACUUAUCGAUUCAACCCAAAUAAAUGUUGACUAUCAAGUAGACACAUUGAAUAAUGAUCUUAAUACGUAAAAUCAUAACUUAGAUGAUAUAUAAUAUUUUAGAAUAUUUUUCUAAAUAAUAUUUAUUAAUAUAUAAAAAAUAUUUAGUAGUAUGAGCGGUUGAAAUUUAUUGAGUUAAUUUGAUAGUAAAAAAAUUAAUAGUAAUGAUUUAUCAUCAUGAAUUCUCAUUGAUUCGCAUAUGCAAAUCAUUACUUUCUGACAAUGGCAAUCUUUGUACAUAUUAAUGAUUUCCACAACAAUAUAUAACAUAAUAAUUUCAAAUGAUAAAAUUCAAAAAAUUUCAUAACUCCUCAUUAUAGGUAAUGAAUAAAAAAUUAUUUGAUUCCUAUUUAGAUAUUUAACAUUAUUAUUUUUAGUAAAUUUAUAUUCAAUUACAUUCAAGUUCAUAUCUAAAAUUUAUUAAUCAUGAAUCAAUUUCAUAGUCAAUAAGCAGCAUUGGUCAUUUUAAUUGGUUUUAUAUGUGUUUAUCAUCAUCAAAAUAGUAUUCAUUCAAUGCUACAAUAAUCUUCUCUUUUUGGUGAUGACAUAAUCAUAAGAAUAUGCGAUGAAGAUGUAUUGAUUAGGAUUUUUUAAAUUUAAAAUUUUAAUAGUAAUUUUAUAAGUAUACCUAUUCAGAAUUUAAUUUAUGACAUAUGGUACUCUUCUAGAAGAUAUUCAAGCCAUAAUUAAAAUUCAAAAAUAAAAUUUGAAUCUGAAAAUUAAUUUCAACUAAAGUCACCAUACGCAAAAAAAAAAUUAAUAAUUUUUUUUUCAUACUUUUCUCUCCUCUCUCUACAAUCUCCUUUUUCUCUACUCUAUCCCUCUCAUAGCGAUCUCUCCCUUUGGAAGUUCAAGGCUCUCCCUAACUUCCAAAGCUCCUUUUUUGCAAGACAUACCUUUUCUCUCCCUUUUUUUCAUCAUCAAAAAUAUGGAGAAAUUUAUAAGUUGCUCCAAUAAUGGUGCUCAAAUAGUGUCAUUUUGUAUUUCAUGGCAUCAUAAUUAUGAUGUUAGUGGGCAUUCAAUUAAAGUGAAUUCACAGGAAGAAAGUUCAAAAUAAAUUUGGUGACAAAUUUAUUUCGAGCAGCCUAUCUAUUAUUUGAUCUAAAAAAUCUAUGUAAAGUGUUAAAAAUUCUAGAUGAAUGAUGACAAGUUUGAUUGGAAGGAAGUGAACAUGAUUUUGAAGAAAAUUGGGUUAAAGAUCAUGGUCUUGAAAAUAAAAUAUUUCAUGUGAAUAAAAAUGUAGUAAAAUAUGAACUAAUCAUUGUUUGAGUUAAAAAUAGGGCUGCGGUUUUGAAAUUUCAAAUAUACUUUCAAAGGUUUGGCUUUGAGACAUUGCUUAGCUCUUAGAAAACAUAAAAGGUAAGUUUUCAUGCUUAGAGUCUAAUUUAUAAACAGAAGUUGGUCUAAAAGUUAGAAAUCCUAUGGUUCAAAUUUAAUCUCAAGGAUUGAAGACUUUUUAAAAUUAAGGUCAUUCAUGAGUGAAACAAGGAAUAGACCAUGCGGAUCAAGUUUCACUCUUAGACAUGACAUAGGUGGUCAAGAUUUUAUCAAAAAGAAUUUGGAUUCCUAAUGCUAUCUAUCAGACUCUAAGGCUGAGUAGAAAUGGUUGAAGUGAGAAUUGGGUGAAUUAGAAAAAGUCAUAUUGUAAUCUAAAAUUCAGUCUUCCUAUUUGCACUUCAAUUUAUUGAUUCCAUAGACUCUUCAAUCAUUGUCAAAAUUAUUUAAAAAUGGAUCCUAAAUUUCCUCUGAAAUACUCCUCUCUUUAUCAUUCAUGUAUUCUACAUCUCACUAGUUUCCUAUUUUUUAAUUUUCUAAUUUUUUAAUUUGAUGAUUCAUCACAAAUCAUAUAAUUCAAAAUAAAUGAAUAAUAAAUCAUAUACACGAAUUAUCAAUCAUCAUUAAACCUUUUAUCCAUAACAUACAAUAAAAUAAAAUUUUAAAUAAAAGUUUGAAUACUUUUUAAAAAAUUAUAAUCAGCUUAAUAACUUAAAACUAUUUGUUAAAUAUAUCAGCUAAUUUCUAAAGAUUUAGGUUAUAAAAUUGAAGAUAAUAUCAUUUAUAUUUACAUGAUCAUGAAUAAGAGGAUGUUUGAGAUAUAUAUAUACAUAUAUAUAUACAUAUAGAUAUGUAUAUAUGCUUGGUUAUAAAAUAAAUGAUGAGAUUCUUUAUCAAAUUAAUAAAACUAAUAUUUUCACAUGUAGUUAUUUUUUCCUAAGACAAACACAAUCCUUAUAUUGAUAUUUAACUCAGUAAAUUUAUGUGCAACAUAAUCUAAUGGUUGUGUGUUCAAUUUCAUCUAUUGACAGAUCAAAAAUGACAUAUUUGUUUGAUACCAAUGAAAUUUAGCAUCCUCUUAAAAUCAAGUAUGACCCAAUUGUGCUUUUCUAUUAAUUUGUAUUUUUAGUUAAAUAAGAAUUGAUGUAAGAAACUUGGUUUAUGUCACACUAAGUUGGAAGAUAAAUUCCUAAAUAAAAUGUACGUGUAAUAUAUCUAAAAAAAUUUAUAGUAAUUAUGUGAUUCAUUCAAAUUACUUUAGAAUCUAGCUUAUAAUCAAAUAACGCAAAUUUUUUCCUUCCUCUAUAUAUAUGAUCUACCAAUUUUCUAUUCCUAUCAAAAUCAACUUUGACCUUACUCUCCAUAAGUGUUUUUUUUCUUUUAUCCAGAAAGAUCAUAAUUUUUUAAUAACUUUAUAACAUGUUUAAUUUUAGAGGUUAAUAUUAUAUAUUCCAAUUAUUUGAAUAUAGUCCAAGAAAAUAACUAAGUUCACCCAUCAUACUGAUCUCAAAUUAAUUCUUCAGUCUUCUAAAACAGUUCAUAAAAAUUUUCAUCUAAAGCUCUGAAAAUUAUAUGAUUGACAUAUACGUGAAUAAUAAGUGUAUCUUGAUUAUUUUUUUAGUAAAUGUGGUAUCAAACUUUCUAGAUAAAACCUAUUUCCUAUAAAAAAAUGAUUUCAACCUCAUUGCUGCCCUUGGUUUUGAUGAUUAAAAAAGAAGUUUUAUUUUAAUAAUUCAUAUUUUAGAUAGCAAAAAGAAGAAUUUGUGUUUUGAUUCAUAUGUUUGGGUUAUAAUUGAUGUUAAGUAUUCAAAAAUUUGAUCAUGCUAAUCACAUAUUGAAUUCUUAGUCUAGUUACAAUGAUUUUGGUUCUAACAAGAUUUUCAAUCAUUAGAUUAAAUUUUUUUAAUGUUACUUCUAUCAAAGAAAUACCUAAAGUAAGUGUUAGUAACUAAGGUAAGAUCUACAAACAAAACAUUGAAUAUACGUUAUUUAGGGUUAUAUGGUAUGAGUCGAAACAUUGUAAUAUAUGAUCCAUGGGUCAACACAUUUCAUUGGGAUUAAAUUUGUGAUGAUCUAACCAUCAUCUUUUAGUGUUUAUCUAUUUAUUUUAUUUUCACAUGAUGUUAGAUAUAUUCUCCAAGCUAUCACAGGUAUUAAAAUUAACAAGAGAAACAAAAGCAGAUCAAAAAUUCAACUUUUGAAAAUUUUAUCUCAAUAGUGACACAUUAAAAAAUUACAUGGAUAAAAAUUCAAAUAAAAUCAAAUGAUCUAGAAGUAUCCUAAAUACUAGGGUAUUCUCCAUCAAGUUAUAAAGCUAUAAUUCAAAUUUGAAUUCAAAUGACCAUAAUAAUUAGAAAAGUCAAAGAUUGUAAGGUAUACAUGUAAAAACCACAUAUUCUGGUAAACAAUAGAACUUUAGCAAGUCAGCUCGAACAUUGAAAAAUCAAGAAAAUUGAAAAAGUAGUACAAGAUGAAAUCAAACUUAUAAGAGGAGGGUUAUGUACUGAGUUAUAGCUAACACACUUAGAUAUUUAAUACUCUCCAGCAAGAUCUUCACAUUGUACAUUUCAAUGAUGAAUAAACUGCAACAUCAUCUUCAUUAGCUUGAUGCUUUCCAUCUGUGUCCUAAAGUAAUUGAGUUAUGAGAGAAGAGUGAUUUUAAUGUAAGUACACUGUGCUUGUAUCUUUUGCUGUCACAAGAAGUACUAAUGUCUUGAAAGGUAUUUCCAAAGACUAACUUGAUAUUUUGGUCAUUUAUCUCAUUAAGCUAUGUAUUCUCCAGAAAGAUAGUCAAAUCUAGAGGAUAGGUUCUUCUAAGACUAUAUGUAGUUGGGUGAGGUGCGAAUCAAUUUAAAAAUUCCAUAUUCUUGAUGAAACAUUGAUGCAGUCUUACUACUACAAAUAGUACUUCCCAUGUGUGUAGGUAUACAUACCCUUUUAGUUGACACAUUAUUUGUGUCAAUACAUUAAUCAAUAUGUGUAGGACAUAACUUUAGAAUACAGAAAAUGUCAUAAUAUCUAAAAGUAAAAAUCAACAGCUAUACUAGUGUUUCAAUUAUUCAUACAAUUCCAAGAAUCCUUUCAUAUCCAACUCUCAUAGGUAUUUAGAAAAGUAUUAUUUAGAUCUCUAUGAUAUAAAAUGAUAUUUUUAUGACAUGUAUAUGCUAACAUAGUUCUAAUUACAUAUAAUCUACACAUUUGUGCAUAGUUUUCAUCAUAAGCUAUUCCUAUUAUUUGACUAUAUUCAUGUGCAUCAGCGUGGUCUCAUUCUUAAUAAUAUUUAUUUCAUCAUUUAACUUAUUUAUGAGAACCCACUUUUUUUGUAUGAUGGACAUUCAUAUUUUUAUAAGUAAUAAAGUACAAACUUUACAUUUUGAAAUCGAUUUAAUUAUUUUAUCAUAGAUGAAAUCAAAAUUUAAUAUUUUAAAGCUUCUUCAACAUUUUUGGGAAGAUUUCAAAAACUAAUCACUCAAGCUUUCUGCCAUGUCAUUACCGUCUCCUGAAAUUUGAUUUGGCGAAUGCCUCUUAACAUAUUUCUAUUAUCAUAGAAGAGUUCUCUUUUUUGAAUUUUCCUCUAAUUUAGGGAGCCUUGCAUUAUCAUUCAUUUAAAUUUCUUGAAACUAACCCUCUCAUUAUUCAAUAUUAUCUUUAAUAUGGAUAUUUUUUAUAAUUAUCCUCAACAAAUUUCACAUUAAUUAUCUUCUCAAGGACUAUUGUCCUUUUAUUGCGAACUAUAAUGCUCUUGAGUUUCUAUAAUAACCAAGAAAAAUUACUUCGCAACUUCUAUUAUCAAAUUUUCUUAUUCAGCCUCCGAAUAUUCAUGAAAAUAAAGUAUGUAGAACCAAAUAGUAGAAAAUACCUAAUAUUUAGUUUCCUUUCUUGAACUACCUCAUGUAGAGUAUUUUUAACGGUAUGUUCAGGAUGAUCUUCGUGAAGUAGUGUAGUAUUCAUUAACUCGCCUCAAACUAAUUAGACAACUUACUUGACCGUACAAAGACGAUCAAAAGGUGCGGAUAACAAGUGGAAAGCACUCAGGGCUUUACCUGAAUACUCGGAUCCUGUGGAUAACACCGCAAAAACAGGGAGAGAAGGGGCCUGCACCUGUUAGCACAUUUAUUCCUCGCCUACACACAUGCUUGACAGCUGUGAUUCCAUCCGAUCAUCCUGGUUCAGAGCCCGUAAAGGUGUCCCGUGAGUCUCGGCUCGGCGACCACCACCAGGGGUAUCUUCUUCGGAGUCGACAGUCCGAAGACCUCCUCCAUGUUGAGCUCCUCCGCCGUCGCCCCUUCCGGCAGCCUCCACCGGAACCCGUGGAGGAGAUUCGCCAGGCUCGACUGGAUCACCUUCAGCCCGAGCGCGUACCCCGGGCACAUCCGCCUCCCCGCCCCGAACGGCAGCAGCUCGAAGUCGUGCCCCUUCACGUCGACGCUCUUUCCCUCGAACCUCUCCGGCCGGAACUCCUCCGGUGAGUCCCACACCGCCGGGUCCCUCCCGAUGGUCCAUACGUUCACCAGCACCUCCGUCCCCGUCGGCACGUGGUACCCCGCCACCGUCGUGUCCUCCCGGCUGUAUCGUGGCACCAGCAUGGGCACCACCGGGUGGAGCCGCAUCGCCUCCUUGACUAUGGCCCCGAUGAAGGGAAGGCUCGGGAUGUCCGUCUCCUCUACCAACCGCUGCCUCCCCACCACCCGGUCGAGCUCCUCCCACGCCUUCUCGAAGAUUUCCGGCCGCCGGAGGAUCUCCGCCAUGGCCCACUCCACCGUCACCGCCGAGCUUUCCGUUCCCCCCGCGAUCAUGUCCUGCAGAUAAAAAUUAAAAUUUGUUCCAUCGAGAGGUUGGAUAUGGCGUAGCAGAGUUUAGGGGAGAACGGGGCCGCACCUGGGUGAAGCCCUUGACGCCGUCUCUGGUGAGCUUGACGUUGAGGCUCGGGUCGUCGGCGAGCUGCAGCAGCACGUCCACCAUGUCGCCGGGGACGAACCCCGGCCCCGCCUGCCGGCGGCGGUCCUCGUGCUCCACGAGGACGUGGUCGAGGAAGGCGUCGAACUUCACGCUCAGGGCCUUCAUUCUCCUCACAUAGCCCUGCAGGUCGAGGAAGUCCAGCCAGGGGAUCAUGUCGCCGAUAUUGAGUACCCCGUUGAGGAGGAACAGCUCGUCCAGCAUCGUCUUGAACUCCUUCGGGGACACCACGUCCGUCCCUGCCUCCUCCCCGAUGUACGUCCUUCCCAGCACCAUCCGGCUGAUCACGCUCAGGCUCAGCGAGGCCAGAUGGUCCUUCAGCAACACGGCGGCACCGCCGGUGGUGGCGCCGGCGAUCCGGGCCAGCAUCCGCCGCGUCUCCUCCACUCUGAUGUACUCGUAGGAGUCGAGGCGCUUGGCGGAGAAGAGCUCCGUGAGGCAUAUCUUCUUCGCCUGCCGCCAGUACGGACCGUACGGGGACCAAGUGAUGUCGGAGUAGUUGUAGGUCGUGCACUUGCCCGCCGCCGUCCGCGGCCGCGAGGCGAAGACGAGGUCCUGCGUCUUCAAGAACUCCCUCGCCAUCUCCACCGACGAACCCACCACCACCCGCUGCGAUCCCAGGUAGAGCUGCAUGAUGGGGCCGUACUUCCGGGAGAGCUCAUGAAUGGACCUGUGCGGCAGCUCCCCGAUCAGGUGCAGGCUGCCGACGAUGGGCCACGGCGGGGGCCCGGCGGCGGAGGAGGCCGCUUCCUCCUGUGGGACGCAAAG
rnacentral:lncRNA from 1 species